UCUUGGUCAUUUAGAGGAAGUAAAAGUCGUAACAAGGUCUCCGUAGGUGAACCUGCGGAGGGAUCAUUACAAGAACGCCCGGGCUUCGGCCUGGUUAUUCAUAACCCUUUGUUGUCCGACUCUGUUGCCUCCGGGGCGACCCUGCCUUCGGGCGGGGGCUCCGGGUGGACACUUCAAACUCUUGCGUAACUUUGCAGUCUGAGUAAACUUAAUUAAUAAAUUAAAACUUUUAACAACGGAUCUCUUGGUUCUGGCAUCGAUGAAGAACGCAGCGAAAUGCGAUAAGUAAUGUGAAUUGCAGAAUUCAGUGAAUCAUCGAAUCUUUGAACGCACAUUGCGCCCCCUGGUAUUCCGGGGGGCAUGCCUGUUCGAGCGUCAUUUCACCACUCAAGCCUCGCUUGGUAUUGGGCAACGCGGUCCGCCGCGUGCCUCAAAUCGUCCGGCUGGGUCUUCUGUCCCCUAAGCGUUGUGGAAACUAUUCGCUAAAGGGUGUUCGGGAGGCUACGCCGUAAAACAACCCCAUUUCUAAGGUGACCUCGGAUCAGGUAGGA
rnacentral:sRNA from 1 species